CCGUGGUGCUGAGGGUCACUGGGAAACCAGCAGCAGCUUCCUCAGGGACCAAACGGAUUUGUUCCUAACUCUGCAGAGUUGGGCUCUGGAGGAAGAUUCCCACCCAGGGGAUGGCUCACGAGUAGGUCUAUGCUGUAACUUUAUUCAUCUUGCUGUGAUUGCCGGGAGCCUGACCCACAUGAAGUGCAUGAAUGCAUUCUGUCCCUCUCCAGCUAGAUGAACAGACGGUACUCACAGAGGAGCAACGCCAGACCUGCUGUCUAUGUGGUGUGACCCAAGAAACCUCAAGGUCAAGAUGAAGUGCAAUAGUUCUUCUCCUGGCCAGCAGCAGCCCAAGUCCCUACUAAAAAUUUGCAGAUGCGGAGAACUUUCAUCAAACAAGACAUAAAUGGAGCCUGUUAGAUAGGGGGUCAAAGCAGUCAUCACCAGACAGUAAUACCUAUUCAUUAAGAUGAUUUUUAAUGGCAUAUUCUAAUGGGCAGAGGUAAAACAAUUAUGAUUUUAACUUCUUGUUUGCAUUAUAAAUAAGUAAAAGGAAAGCAGCAACAAGGAGUACUUGGAAUUCCUCUGACGGAGCCCCAAACUUCAUCCCCUCAUUCCGUCUGUGUGCAAACCAAGUGCUAAGGGACUCAGAGCUGGCCUGUGGUCUCUCAAGUUAGCACAGUAGCAUCAAGGCUGAUUUAAAGAUCAAGGCGUAAAGAACCGUAUGCAUG